rnacentral:rRNA from 1 species
GGGGAAUCUUCCGCAAUGGGCGAAAGCCUGACGGAGCAACGCCGCGUGAGUGAAGAAGGCCUUCGGGUUGUAAAACUCUGUCAUCAGGGAAGAAGAAAGUGACGGUACCUGAGGAGGAAGCCCCGGCUAACUACGUGCCAGCAGCCGCGGUAAAACGUAGGGGGCGAGCGUUGUCCGGAAUUACUGGGCGUAAAGGGCGCGUAGGCGGUUAUCCAAGUCAGGGGUGAAAACCUUGGGCUCAACCCAGGGCCUGCCUCUGAAACUGGGUGACUUGAGGGCAGGAGAGGGGAGUGGAAUUCCCGGUGUAGCGGUGAAAUGCGUAGAUAUCGGGAGGAACGCCAGUGGCGAAGGCGGCUUCCUGGCCCGCGACUGACGCUCAUGUGCGAAAGCCAGGGGAGCGAACC